CCAGGUUGUUGUUCAUGGAUUUCUAUAUGUUUCUUAGAAACCUGGAAACAUGUUACAGUUAGAGAAACUCCUACAGUGGCUCUCCUGGACCUGACCCAGCUUUCACAAUUUUGCUAGUCGUAUUCCGUUGCUCACCACCAGAGGGCACUGUUCUCCCCACACACGGGGCAGGGUCCUCAUAGGCCCGAGGAAAGCUCACUGCAGCCGGUUUGCAGAAGGCAGAAGCUGAGCAGAGAGCGUGGAUGUACGUGGGGAGGCAGUGCAGGUGGGGUCUGUGGGGUGGAUGGUGCAGGUGGGAUGUAUGUGCGGGGGCGGUGCAGGUGGGGUCUGUGGGGUGGAUGGUGCAGGUGGGAUGUAUGUGCGGGGGUGGUGCAGGUGGGGUCUGUGGGGUGGAUGGUGCAGGUGGGAUGUAUGUGGGGGGUUGGUGCAGGUGGGGUCUGUUUGUAGGGAGCCGUGCAGAGCACGUUGUGGGAGCAGUGCAGGUGGACUCUGCAUGGAGUAGGGGAAGUGGAAGGUGGGUUCUGUGUUGAGACCUGUCUUGCAUCGCUAUACAUGAGAAGGACUUGUUCCAAAGGGGCUCUGGGAACCCUCCUGGCUGUGAGCUGCCAGUCCAGGGCCCCUCUCAACUGGAAGGCCUUGCCUUGAAGGAGGUGUUUCCAAAGCCACAGAGAAAAAGGCAAGGGAGACCAGAGGCUUUCAAUGGACUGAGGGUCUGAGAGGCUUGUCUGUGCUAGCAGGGCGUGAACUGCAUUCAGCCUGACCCCAAACAGGGCAUCCUCCUCCACUGGCCCUGCCGGUGUCGGUGAGGUGAGGGUCAA
rnacentral:lncRNA from 1 species